GUAAUGGCGAACGCAUAUCUAUUAUUUUACUCUAUGCAACAUAUUUCAGAUUUAUGCAUGAGUCUUUAUUCGUAGUGUUAUUGAUCCUCUGGGUUUUAUAGGUAAGUUUUAGACUUGCGACUAAUCAUUUUACGAUAUACGUUAUUAAUAUGACUUUAUUACAAUUUACUUUCAAUUGGUGAAAAUAUAUAUAGGGACAAUAGAUUAACCUAAAAGUGUUGUUUACCCACAUUUAUAUCUUUUUAAUAUAUCUUAUAGCACAACUUGUUGAGUCAAUGAUAUUAAUGACAGAAUGUUAAUAUUACUAUAGGUGUAAUACCAUCUAAUUUACAUCCGGUUUCAUUAGAAAAACGUUAAGAAGAUAUUACCUUGAAUUUGAGAGUUGAAGUAAAUUAAUCCUGCAUUUUUUUUAACUUUGUGUUUCUAUAGAAUAUUUUAGCAACUUACCGUUAAAUGGUCAGUCAAGACAAAAAGGAUUGAAAGUUUGAUUGGUUGACUUCCAGUGAUAGUUAUUUUCUGAUAUGCAAUGAAAUGUUAUAUGAAAUUAUGUCUUUAGUAUUGGACAGGAAAAAACUUUACUCAUGACAAGUAUUUCUUUAUUAGAAACAAAGAUAAAUUCUGCAAAAAAUUUUAAAGAUUACUGGUCUAUUUUCUUAUUACAAAACCAAAUAGGUAUAUUCAUAACGCAUUCCUUUAUAAAAGCAAACGUAUCUUUGUUAUCUCCCCUUUAAUAGCAAAAUUGAGAAAAAAAAAUUAAUCAAACUGAAAUAUUGUAAACUUCUGAGAAACUGUAAAUUAAAAAUACCAUUAACACCUCAUUUUCUUCCUUUAGAUGAAAAUUUGUACGAAUGAAUAUCAGUUUAUUAAUUAAAGAUUGUUUUCUGUUAUUUUACACAUUUUUAUAUCUUCAACAAGGAUUAAACAUUGCCAUGGAGAGAAGUGUCAAAUUCAAAUGACAGUAUGAAACAAUUACGGACAUCUUCUUAGUCCUGUACCUCUUAUCCUUCGGGUCUAUCUGCGCUAAACAAUAACUAUAUAAUAAGAUGAGUACAUUUUUUUAUAAUCUUAACAAAAUGCAUCUGCACAAACAGCAUCUGUCUAUAUAAUUCGAAAGUUCGCUUGUCAAAUGUGCGUUUUGGUCUUAUAUGUUUAUACAUUUUUCUUUGCCAGGUCGUUUAAUUUACUAUGUCCGUAGUUACUAUAUCAUUUAUUCGAGUACAUUUGUUUAAUCAAUAGCACGUAAAACAAAAAAGCAUUUUUAGAAAUUGUUUGAUUUCUCCAUGGGCCGUAGAUAUCCAAUGAGUAUCAAUGAAUGAAUGAGUUUAUUUGCAAAAUGCAUAUACAUGCUAUAGCAAUCAAAACAUAUAUUACAUAUAUGGCACAAUGACUAACAGCAGAAAACAACACACAUGAUACAAAGUAAAGUUAUAAUUUGACAACUCAUUUUCAAUGCUGCCAUUAGAUAAUUACAAAAUUUUAUAGUCAGAUUUUUAUUAGCAGCUUUUAACAAUGAUCUAGUGUAUAGUAUUUGGCCUAGAAAAAACGUAUUUUGGUAAAUAAUAUGACCUUAAAAGUCUGUAUACAAGACAAACUAAAACAAAAUGGUGUUCGUAUUCAACAACGAUCAUAUUACAACAAAGAAAUAAUUGUAAUUCUCUUGGAGUAUUGGUAUAUCUACCAACUUCGAUAUCUAAUUGUAGUGUCCAACUAAAUAGUUUUGUAAGUCAUCGAACAUCACAAAAGAAAUGUAAGUAAUGUUCAUGACAAAAAGAUGUCUUGAUUCUUCUAUACAUACAAAGUUUUGACAUAAAGAUGCAGACCACUCUUGUAAAAAUUGAUCAGUAAUACUUGUUCCUAAUAACAUCAAAAACUACAUUAGUUAAAUCCUGUGAAAUAAUUUUAAAAAAAAAUCCGGCCAAUAGUUAUCAAAGGUACCAGGAUUAUAAUUUAGUACGCCAGACGCGCGUUUCGUCUACAUAAGACUCAUCAGUGACGCUCCUAUCAAAAUAUUUAUAAAGCCAAACAAGUACAAAGUUGAAGAGCGUUGAGGAUCCAAAAUUCCAAAAAGUUGUGCCAAAUACGGCUUAGGUAAUCUAUGCCUGGGAUAAGAAAAUCCUUAGUUUUUCGAAAAAUUCAAUCUUUUGUAAACAGGAAAUUUAUAAAAACGACCAUAUUAUUGAUAUUCAUGUCAACACCGAAGUGUUGACUACUGGGCUGGUGAUACCCUCGGGGACGAAACGUCCACCAGCAGUGGUAUCGACCCAGUAGUGUAAAUAGUUAUCAAAGGUACCAGGAUUAUAAUUUAGUACGCCAGACGCGCGUUUCGUCUACAUAAGACUCAUCAGUGACGCUCAUAUCAAAAUAUUUAUAAAGCCAAACAAGUACAAAGUUGAAAAGCAUUGAGGAUCCAAAAUUCCAAAAAGUUGUGCCAAAUACGGCUAAGGUAAUCUAUGCAAUAUUACACAAUAAUUAUUUGUUUUACAAUUACUAAUAUCUUUAUACAGAAGCUGGUGAACAUUGUAAACAACACUUGAUUUUUUUCGAUAUAAUAUAAAACAAAUAAUUACAAAUUAUAAUACGCCCUGAAACGUACUUAGGCACCACACAGAAAAGUAAUAGGUACAUUUUUAUCAACCUUUUCAAGAAAUCUACAAAAAUGUUUAAAAGUUAAUUUAUGUCAUGAGCACGACGAGAGCCCAAUAUUUCUGAUACGUUACUAAGAACGGAACCAACUAUACUGUCAAAAAAACAACAACAUUGAUCAGUUGAAAUGUUUUACAUUUUCGAUAGUAUUCAUCAGUGAUGAUAAAGCAUUGAACCCUUGCUGAGCUAGACAUUUCUCUAUAGAAAUUUGCCAUUGAAAUGGAGUAAUAUUCCGACGUAAACGUACGAAUCAACCGUCAUCAGAUGAAAUGUCAUUUACUAAUAAGAAGACACUGUCCUGGUGUGAACGUGAACUCAUUGCAUCGGUCACUAUCCCAUUUUAUAAAAAAAAGUAUGUACCAUGAGAGGCUUGAACGGAGGACGUUUGUCAAAUUAAUAUAAAAAAAAUAUGGGCGCAUAAUCUAAAAAAUCAUUGAACUGUAGUACCUUGAAAUCACUAAUUUAAUUAUAAUUUGACAGUGAAAAUAAUAAAUAAUUCACACUGUUUUCCUUUUUAGUAAAGUUUCCUAGUCUAUCGUUUGCUACAAUUAAACCUGUAUCGUAACACAACUAAACAGGUCUGCGGCCAAAAUUCUUUACUGUCUUGUUCAUAGAUACUUUAUUCGGAAUAAUUGGGCUUUCAAUGUGUUGUACAGUAUGAACAUACUUAUCUAUAUCAUCAAUAUACAGAAAAUCAUUCGUUAUACUAAUAAGACUAUUCAAAUUCCCACAUACACUACCUUUAUCACUGUAUUCAAGACAAAUAAUUUCAAUUAGUUUAUGAAAAUAAAUAUCUAACAACCAGUAAUUAUUUGAAUUUUCGUGUGGGAUGUAUGAGAAACAAAUGAAAAUGUCAUAACCAAUACUGAAAAAAUCGUAUUUUUAAUUUUUUUAAUAACAAAUACCUUUUUGUUAAAAUGGUUUUAAAAAAAACAGCAACAUCAUCUUCAUUUUUCGCACCUUCAUUAACAUCUCUAUUUACACAUGAACUUUAGUACACCAAUUAUAUCUAUCAAGUUACUAUUAUAUAACCAUGUUUCGCUUAGAAAUAAAAUGUCAUACUCAUCGAUCAGAUUCAAGAAAUCAUUGACAUUAUAGACUGACGUCAGACCAUGAACGUUCAAAUAUCAUUUUAGGUUUUCGAGUUGAUCUUUGGGUACACCCUAUGAAACUUAUUCUUUGCCUUUAACAUAAAUCUUGUCUUUGACAAAAGAGGGGCGAAAGAUACCAGAGGGACAGUCAAACUCAUAAAUCGAAAAUAAACUGACAACGCCAUGGCUAAAAAUUGAAAAAGACAAACAGACAAAUAAUAGUACACAUGACACAACAUAGAAAGUAAAAGACUAUUCCGUACGAUGAAUUUUAUAACUGUUAAGCAUUUCUUUCUACAAAGUUGAGGUUUUCAAAAUCGGUUGCAACAUGCUCAAUUUUCAAGAUUUCCUUACAAAAGUCAUUAAUGACUGAGCAUGCUCAGUACAGUUUUCUUAUUCACUUGCUUUAAAGUUGAAAAAAAUAGGUUAUUCGGCAGUAAUUUAAACUUACAUCGGUCAGAUCAACAUUUAUUUCGUCGUUGUUUCUCCAUUUCUCCAAGCGAUUCACUAACCUUUUUGUCUACUGAAUCAACACUUGUGUAACUAGUUUUUAAUUUUGUGGAAAUUUUAUCAAGUUCAAAUUUGAAUUUCGUGUAUCAAAUUCAUUACUGAUUAUUGUAGUACAUCUCUCCAUUUGCUCAAUACGAUUAUCUAUGUUUAUAACCCGGUCAUUUUCUUUUUUAUCCGAAGUUUCUACCGAAGAAUUAUUAUCACUACUGUUAAUGGUAUUAGUCCUUUUUAUGCCUUUUUGGGGCAUCUUUGGCAUAAAAAUCACAAUAAAAAUCACAUUUUUAUUAGUCAUAUAAACAAAACUACUGUCCACCAUUGAGUCACAUGAUUCCUCAGUACAUUUAUAAUAUGUUUGUAAGUUUGUACCAUGAACCUAAAAAAAAGUUGUUUUUUUCGUUUUAGUGAUAAGUAUUCCUGAUCGUUAGUUAUGUCGGUUCGGUCAAAUCUUAGUAAAUCGAGGCUGCACAGCAAUAAACCUAGACAAUGUAGUCACUCACGUCCACGCUCCAACAUUCAGAUGGAUGACUUUGCUACGCCAGACGCAACAUUAU
rnacentral:lncRNA from 1 species